rnacentral:rRNA from 1 species
GACGAACGCUGGCGGCGUGCCUAAUACAUGCAAGUAGAACGCUGAAGAGAGGAGCUUCCUCUUCUUGGAUGAGUUGCGAACGGGUGAGUAACGCGUAGGUAACCUGCCUUGUAGCGGGGGAUAACUAUUGGAAACGAUAGCUAAUACCGCAUAACAAUGGAUGACACAUGUCAUUUAUUUGAAAGGGGCAAUUGCUCCACUACAAGAUGGACCUGCGUUGUAUUAGCUAGUAGGUGAGGUAAUGGCUCACCUAGGCGACGAUACAUAGCCGACCUGAGAGGGUGAUCGGCCACACUGGGACUGAGACACGGCCCAGACUCCUACGGGAGGCAGCAGUAGGGAAUCUUCGGCAAUGGGGGCAACCCUGACCGAGCAACGCCGCGUGAGUGAAGAAGGGUUUCGGAUCGUAAAGCUCUGUUGUAAGUCAAGAACGGGUGUGAGAGUGGAAAGUUCACACUGUGACGGUAGCUUACCAGAAAGGGACGGCUAACUACGUG